AUUGAACGCUGGCGGCAUGCUUUACACAUGCAAGUCGAACGGUAACAGGCCUUCGGGUGCUGACGAGUGGCGAACGGGUGAGUAAUGCAUCGGAACGUACCCAGAGGUGGGGGAUAACGCAGCGAAAGCUGUGCUGAUACCGCAUGUGAUCUGAGGAUGAAAGCGGGGGACCGAGCAGCAAUGUUUGGCCUCGCGCCUUUGGAGCGGCCGAUGUCGGAUUAGCUAGUUGGUGGGGUAAAGGCCUACCAAGGCGACGAUCCGUAGCUGGUCUGAGAGGACGACCAGCCACACUGGGACUGAGACACGGCCCAGACUCCUACGGGAGGCAGCAGUGGGGAAUUUUGGACAAUGGGCGCAAGCCUGAUCCAGCAAUGCCGCGUGCGGGAAGAAGGCCUUCGGGUUGUAAACCGCUUUUGGCAGGAACGAAACGGUGUCCGCUAAUACCGGGCGCUAAUGACGGUACCUGCAGAAUAAGCACCGGCUAACUACGUG
rnacentral:rRNA from 1 species